rnacentral:misc_RNA from 1 species
CGAGAUUCCGGCUGCCAUGGGGCAGUAUGGGCAGUAUACCUAUCAACAAAAGGACGAAUUUAUAGGCGCUUCGAGCUUUCAACUGCAGACUGCGUAGAGCGUAGAUCAUAAUUUAUUCCGCGGCUAAAACAUAUUAACAGCUUUAACAGGUAUCGUCGAUUAUUGUCAUGAUAUUAACUGUCAUAUUAAUUACGUUUUGUGCCGUUAAAAAAUCAUAAGUGUUGAAACAUAUGUCUUCAAAUUAAGUCGAGAAAGAUUGUGGUUAGUUUGAUUUGAGGAAGAGUUACGUGCUACACCAAUUUAAUGUUUUCAGAGGUUAGAUAAUUGUGAUGUAACAAUUUGCAGAAGAGAAGUUUAUGCAAUUUUAUCGCUUAUAUUAACGUGAACCAAAGUAAAAGCGAUAUUGCGCUCAGCAAAAGAUUGUCGUAUUUAUUACGUCAUGGAGCUAUAAAGGAAGGUUUAAAUAUUAAACCAAAUGGUUUCAUCGCUGUUGAUGAGCUGU